rfam:Culex pipiens quinquefasciatus supercont3.34 genomic scaffold, whole genome shotgun sequence.
GUGGCCGUGGCUGAAUGGUUACGGUGUUCGCUUUAUAAGCGAAUGGUCUGGGUUCGAUUCUCAUCUGCUCCC